rnacentral:lncRNA from 1 species
UUAAUGAAUCAUUUAUAUCAUGGGUGGAAACUUUAUAUAAGGGAAUACAAACAUGUGUAAUAAAUAAUGGAUGGGUAUCUGAGAUUUUUGAAAACUCCAGAGGAAUCCGUCAAGGAUGCCCUUUAUCUGCUUUACUUUUUGUUUUGUCAGUAGAAAUUAUGGCUUUGAGAUUACGACAAAACCCUGACAUCAAAGGUAUUCGAAUUACUAUUGAUAAAAAAACACAUAGCAUAAAAAUAUCUCAAUUGGCGGAUGAUACAACUCUUUUUUGUAGUUCAAA